UAAACUUUUGCAAUUACUUUUUCAAAGGUAUGAAGAACUGGAUGUCAGCAAAGGCCUUCGAGACAAUUUGAAAGGGAAGGUUGUCAUAGAAUACCCAACUUUGCAUAUUGUUUUGAAGAAAUUCCAGACGGAUAUGGUGAUUCUUGGCCACGAUGCCAGUAAAUCCAAUCAGGAAAACUCGUCUGAGGAAGAAGGGGAAAUCCAUGAUAGUUCCUGACAAAGCAAAAUCGGAUGUGGAGUUGGAGCAACUUGCUUUGCACCUGACUUGUUGAACAUAUAUUCAGCAAAUUAGUUUUGAGCAUUGCUUUUUAUUAAUAGUAUCCAAAACCUAUAGCUAUUUAAAAAGCACUGCAAUCUGUUAAUGUAUGUUCUACAUUAUGUUCUAAUCUAUGUUUAUAGAUUAAGGUGCCUAGCUCUAGCUUUCUUUUGUGAAAAUCACUGAUGUAACAAUUACAAUUUUACAGGACUCUGUUGCCAAUCUUUGUACGCUUGGCUGUCUUUUUCCACUUAUUGAAGUAGAAAGCUAUAAAUACUUUUAAUAAAACACCUAACUCUCCUUUCA